rnacentral:rRNA from 1 species
UACCAGCACCCCGAGUGGUCGGGACGUUUAUUGGGCCUAAAGCAUCCGUAGCCGGUUCUACAAGUCUUCCGUUAAAUCCAACUGCUUAACAGGUGGGCUGCGGAAGAUACUACAGAGCUAGGAGGCGGGAGAGGCAAGCGGUACUCGAUGGGUAGGGGUAAAAUCCGUUGAUCCAUUGAAGACCACCAGUGGCGAAGGCGGCUUGCCAGAACGCGCUCGACGGUGAGGGAUGAAAGCUGGGGGAGCAAACCGG